ensembl:misc_RNA Metazoa_SRP Metazoan signal recognition particle RNA
GCCAGGAGUGGUGGCGUGCACCUGUAGUCCCAGCUACUCGGGAGGCUGAGGCAGGAUGAUCGCUUGAGCCCAGGAGUUUGAGGCUGCAGUGAGCCAAGAUCAAGCCACUGUACUCCAGCCUGAGUGACAGAGUGAGACCCUGUCUCAA